GCCAGGUAUGGUGGCACAUGCCUGUAGUCCCAGCUACUUGGGAGGCUGAGGUGGGAGGAUUACUCGAGUCUAGGAGGUUGGGGCUGCAGUGAGCCAUGGUCAGGUCACUGCACUCCAGUCUGGGCGACAGAGCAAGACCCUGUCUCAA
rfam:Pan troglodytes isolate Yerkes chimp pedigree #C0471 (Clint) chromosome 2A, whole genome shotgun sequence.